UACGUAGGUGGCAAGCGUUGUCCGGAUUUACUGGGUGUAAAGGGCGUGCAGCCGGGAAGACAAGUCAGAUGUGAAAUCCCGCGGCUCAACCGCGGAACUGCAUUUGAAACUGUUUUUCUUGAGUAUCGGAGAGGUAAUCGGAAUUCCUAGUGUAGCGGUGAAAUGCGUAGAUAUUAGGAAGAACACCAGUGGCGAAGGCGGUCUGCUGGACAGCAACUGACGCUGAGGCGCGAAAGCGUGGGGAGCAAACAGG
rnacentral:rRNA from 1 species